AGAUUGAACGCUGGCGGCAUGCCUUACACAUGCAAGUCGAACGGCAGCACGGGAGCAAUCCUGGUGGCGAGUGGCGAACGGGUGAGUAAUACAUCGGAACGUGCCCAAUCGUGGGGGAUAACGCAGCGAAAGCUGUGCUAAUACCGCAUAAGAUCUACGGAUGAAAGCAGGGGAUCGCAAGACCUUGCGCGAAUGGAGCGGCCGAUGGCAGUAUUAGGGUAGUUGGUGAGGUAAAGCUCACAAGCCUUCGAUCUGUAGCGUGGUCUGAGAGGACGACCAGCCACACGUGGGACUGACGACACGGCCCAGACCUCCGACGGGAGCAGCAGGUGGGUAAUUUGGACAGUGGCGAAAGCUGACUCCGAGCCAUCGCCG
rnacentral:rRNA from 1 species